CCUACGGGGGGCAGCAGUGAGGAAUAUUGGUCAAUGGGCGAGAGCCUGAACCAGCCAAGUCGCGUGAAGGAUGACUGUCUUAUGGAUUGUAAACUUCUUUUGUAGGGGAAUAAAGAACAGUACGUGUACUGUAGUGAAUGUACCCUACGAAUAAGCAUCGGCUAACUCCGUGCCAGCAGCCGCGGUAAUACGGAGGAUGCGAGCGUUAUCCGGAUUUAUUGGGUUUAAAGGGUGCGUAGGCGGCCUGUUAAGUCAGCGGUGAAAUCUAGGGGCUUAACUCCUAAAUUGCCAUUGAUACUGGUGGGCUUGAGUGUAGAUGAGGUAGGCGGAAUGCGUGGUGUAGCGGUGGAAUGCAUAGAUAUCACGCAGAACUCCAAUUGCGAAGGCAGCUUACUAAGGUACAACUGACGCUGAAGCACGAAAGCGUGGGUAUCAAACAGGAUUAGAUACCCUGGUAGUC
rnacentral:rRNA from 1 species